rnacentral:misc_RNA from 1 species
AAGUCGUAACAAGGUUUCCGUAGGUGAACCUGCGGAAGGAUCAUUACUGAUUUGGCGGACCGAGCGUCAGCGAGGUUCCGCGAUCACUUGUAUUUAAAACCCACACUUUGAAUGUAAUAUGUAUAUUUUUGUAUUUUUAAUAAUAAAAGAUCACUUUCAACAACGGAUCUCUUGGUUCUG